GAUCCGCGCCCCAGCUGCGCCUCCCUCCGCCGGCGGCGCCGCUCCUCAGUGACAGCUGCGUCGCCAGCCCUCAGCGCCCGCCUGCCCCCUCCGGAACCUACCAACUCCGCCCCCCACACGCCUCCUCGUCCCUUCACCAUCUCCCGUGCGCACUGGCUCGGCCUUGUGGGGCCGUUGCGCCGAACCGGGCACCGGCACUGCGAGCGGUUUAUGUCCCUUUCCAGAGCGACAAAAAGCUACAGCUAGGUUUUACCAGAGGAAAACAGGGAGUCCUGAGCAGCAAGUGCAAUGAAAAUUUUCCAGUCAGUAAGUGUCAAUGCGAAGGAACAUGCCACCUUGCAAAGGUCAGCAGAAGGAAUCAAAAACUUCUCUGAGAUGUAAACAUUUCCAAGACUUUCCAAAGAAUAAGCACAUGUCUACUUUUGCUGUGUACUCUGGAAAGUUGAUCAUGGUCAAAUAUUCUGUUAGUCUACAGCAGAUUAAACAGCUGCAUUACUGUAAACUGAGUUUGAUUCUCCAUGAUUCAGCUUUUGCAAUUCCUAGCUAUAACUGUUUAAAAUAGAGACUGUCCAGGGUGUUCCCUUUUGCUCUGCUGGUGAUAAGAAACAUAUACUGAGACAGCUUAGAGAAAGAUUUACCUCUUCUCUUUCAGUUACAUCUUUUAAGAGGCUAGUCAUAAACUUUGGUUUUGUUCUCUCUUUUUUUUUUUUUCUGAGACAUACUUUCAAACAAACUCUACAUGUGAUUGGGAGCAGUUUACUUUCAAAGUGUCGUGAUGAGCCUAACUUCUCUAAUUGUGUCCUAAAGAAGCAGGCUUCAGCCUCAGGCACAAGCAUCCUGGCACAGCUCAGAAGGAAAAGGGCACACUGGGAACUGUGCAAAACGAGCACCCCUAAGCACUGAGGGCUUUAAACUUCCUAAUGGAUAAAAAAUAGAAGGGUACUGUGGUAUAUUUGGUAAAAGCUUUAUGCCAAACAGUGGCAAGGAUGAGGGCAUUCAGUUGUAAAGUUACUCAAGUGUAAGCAAAUUGGCAAACAGAGUCUUCAUGUUGGUG